rnacentral:rRNA from 1 species
UUCGUAGGCGGUGUGGCAAGUUGGGAGUGAAAUCUCUGGGCUUAACCCAGAGGCUGCUUCCAAAACUGCUGUGCUUGAGUGUGGGAGAGGCGCGUGGAAUUGCAGGUGUAGCGGUGAAAUGCGUAGAUAUCUGCAGGAACACCCGUGGCGAAAGCGGCGCGCUGGACCACUACUGACGCUGAGGAACGAAAGCUAGGGGAGCAAACAGGAUUAGAUACCCUGGUAGUCCUAGCCCUAAACGAUCGGGACUUGGGGUGCCGCACGUUCGUGCGUCGUCCCGGAGCUAACGCGUUAAGUCCCGCGCCUGGGGAGUACGGCCGCAAGACUGAA